GCUGGGGAGAGGCUCUGGAUCAGGGAGUGCAGGGAGAGGAUGAAGGGAACGGUUUGAAGAUGAAAGAGAGGAGACUGAGAUGAGACCGUAGGAAGAAAUGCUUCCUGUGAGGGUGGGGAGGCUCUGGCCCAGGUUGCCCAGAGCAGUGGUGGCUGCCCCAUCCGUGGAAGGGUUCCAGGCCAGGUUGGAUGAGGCUUGGAGCCCCUGAUCCAGUGGGAGGUGUCCCUACCCAUGGCAGGGGUUGGGAUUGGAUGUGCUUUGAGGUCCCUUCCAACCCAAAACGUUCCAUGAUUCUGUGAUUCUAUGAUUUUUCCAUCAUCUGAGGGGAUGCAAAAAGCUGCUGCCUGUUGGGUCGUGCUGAGUCCUAUAAAGGCUGGAGGGAAAGUGUUCAGAUUUGGGUUUUUUUUUUCCCAUGAAAAACAAAUUCUUGGGUCCUUAUAAUAAAAUUUUGUGUGCAAUUCUGUUCAGAGGCACAUGACCAAACCUGAUGGAUGCAGAGCUGUAAGGAUGAAGAGAUACAUGGAUGCAAGGAUGUAGGGAUUAAGAGAUGCAUGGAUGCACAGAUGCAAACAUCCACGGGUUCAAAGAUAGAAGGCAGGACGGAUCACCCCAUAAACCACCAUGUGGCUACAAGAACACCACAUCUUCAUCGCUGCAGUGUUUUACUCAGCAUCCCCUAACAGUCACACCCCGUGCUAUACCCUCGCCCAAAAGCAAAGAGCUCACCUCCCGCUCCUUGGCCCAGGAAUACAUUAAGCAGGUUGAACUCACCUACUGCUGGUGUAUUUUGGGGGUUAUUUUCCAGAUUUAGGCUUUUGCUCUUCACCUGCAUAAAAAAAACAAAAGGCAAUCAGAGCAAGCAGAUGGCAGGGACCCAAAAGGGCUUAAGGGAUGGAGCCCGAGUGGCGUUUUGUGGCCAUUGCAAAAGAAGCCCGUCAAAAAAAACUAGGCAGUGUUUUAGGAUUGUUUUUAGAAUUCAUUAUUUCUUUGCCAAGAAGAAAUAUUUUAAGCAGGGACAGGGUGGUGACGGCAUUUUCUCCACGGUGAAUUCACCCCAUUUUUAUAUCCAGGUGGGUCUAGAGACCUCGCUGGCUCUUGCUUUGAGCAUCACUCAAUCUAGCAUUCAACAGAGGUUUGGGGGAUAACCCCCCUGGUAUUCACCUCACUCCCCAGAACCCCCCAGUCUCCCAUAACCUCAAAAGAAAGACAAACUGAUUU